rnacentral:rRNA from 1 species
AGAGUUUGAUCAUGGCUCAGAUUGAACGCUGGCGGCAGGCCUAACACAUGCAAGUCGAACGGUAACAGGAAACAGCUUGCUGUUUCGCUGACGAGUGGCGGACGGGUGAGUAAUGUCUGGGAAACUGCCUGAUGGAGGGGGAUAACUACUGGAAACGGUAGCUAAUACCGCAUAACGUCGCAAGACCAAAGAGGGGGACCCUCGGGCCUCUUGCCAUCGGAUGUCCCAGAUGGGAUUAGCUUGUUGGUGGGGUAACGGCUCACCAAGGCGACGAUCCCUAGCUGGUCUGAGAGGAUGACCAGCCACACUGGAACUGAGACACGGUCCAGACUCCUACGGGAGGCAGCAGUGGGGAAUAUUGCACAAUGGGCGCAAGCCUGAUGCAGCCAUGCCGCGUGUAUGAAGAAGGCCUUCGGGUUGUAAAGUACUUUCAGCGGGGAGGAAGGGAGUAAAGUUAAUACCUUUGCUCAUUGACGUUACCCGCAGAAGAAGCACCGGCUAACUCCGUGCCAGCAGCCGCGGUAAUACGGAGGGUGCAAGCGUUAAUCGGAAUUACUGGGCGUAAAGCGCACGCAGGCGGUUUGUUAAGUCAGAUGUGAAAUCCCCGGGCUCAACCUGGGAACUGCAUCUGAUACUGGCAAGCUUGAGUCUCGUAGAGGGGGGUAGAAUUCCAGGUGUAGCGGUGAAAUGCGUAGAGAUCUGGAGGAAUACCGGUGGCGAAGGCGGCCCCCUGGACGAAGACUGACGCUCAGGUGCGAAAGCGUGGGGAGCAAACAGGAUUAGAUACCCUGGUAGUCCACGCCGUAAACGAUGUCGACUUGGAGGUUGUGCCCUUGAGGCGUGGCUUCCGGAGCUAACGCGUUAAGUCGACCGCCUGGGGAGUACGGCCGCAAGGUUAAAACUCAAAUGAAUUGACGGGGGCCCGCACAAGCGGUGGAGCAUGUGGUUUAAUUCGAUGCAACGCGAAGAACCUUACCUGGUCUUGACAUCCACGGAAGUUUUCAGAGAUGAGAAUGUGCCUUCGGGAACCGUGAGACAGGUGCUGCAUGGCUGUCGUCAGCUCGUGUUGUGAAAUGUUGGGUUAAGUCCCGCAACGAGCGCAACCCUUAUCCUUUGUUGCCAGCGGUCCGGCCGGGAACUCAAAGGAGACUGCCAGUGAUAAACUGGAGGAAGGUGGGGAUGACGUCAAGUCAUCAUGGCCCUUACGACCAGGGCUACACACGUGCUACAAUGGCGCAUACAAAGAGAAGCGACCUCGCGAGAGCAAGCGGACCUCAUAAAGUGCGUCGUAGUCCGGAUUGGAGUCUGCAACUCGACUCCAUGAAGUCGGAAUCGCUAGUAAUCGUGGAUCAGAAUGCCACGGUGAAUACGUUCCCGGGCCUUGUACACACCGCCCGUCACACCAUGGGAGUGGGUUGCAAAAGAAGUAGGUAGCUUAACCUUCGGGAGGGCGCUUACCACUUUGUGAUUCAUGACUGGGGUGAAGUCGGAACAAGGUAACCGUAGGGGAACCUGCGGUUG